AGAGUUUGAUCCUGGCUCAGAAUCAACGCUGGCGGCGCGCUUAACACAUGCAAGUCGCACGAGAAAGUGGGAAACCAUGAGUACAGUGGCGUACGGGUGAGUAACACGUGGGUAAUCUACCUCUGAGUGGGGAAUAACCCUGGGAAACCGGGGCUAAUACCGCAUAAUCUCGAGAGAGGAAAGCAGCAAUGCGCUGAGAGAGGAGCCCGCGGCCGAUUAGCUAGUUGGUAGGGUAAGAGCCUACCAAGGCAGAGAUCGGUAGCCGGCCUGAGAGGGCACACGGCCACACUGGCACUGAAACACGGGCCAGACUCCUACGGGAGGCAGCAGUGGGGAAUCUUGCACAAUGGGGGAAACCCUGAUGCAGCGACGCCGCGUGAGCGAUGAAGCCCUUCGGGGUGUAAAGCUCUUUCGUCAGGGAAGAUCAUGACGGUACCUGGAGAAGCAGCUGCGGCUAACUACGUGCCAGCAGCCGCGGUAAUACGUAGGCAGCGAGCGUUGUUCGGAGUUACUGGGCGUAAAGGGUGUGUAGGCGGUUCUUUAAGUUUGGUGUGAAAUCUCCCGGCUCAACCGGGAGGGUGCGCCGAAUACUGAGGGACUUGGAGUGCGGGAGAGGAAAGUGGAAUUCCUGGUGUAGCGGUGAAAUGCGUAGAUAUCAGGAGGAACACCGGUGGUGUAGACGGCUUUCUGGACCGUAACUGACGCUGAGACACGAAAGCGUGGGUAGCAAACAGGAUUAGAUACCCUGGUAGUCCACGCCCUAAACGAUGCAUAUUUGGUGUGGGUCAUUCAGUUGAUCCGUGCCGGAGCUAACGCGUUAAAUAUGCCGCCUGGGGAGUACAGUCGCAAGGCUGAAACUCAAAGGAAUUGACGGGGCCCGCACAAGCGGUGGAGCAUGUGGUUCAAUUCGACGCAACGCGAAGAACCUUACCUGGGCUCGAACGGCUGGUCAACGGAGGUGGAAACAUCUUUAACC
rnacentral:rRNA from 1 species